UACGUAGGGUGCGAGCGUUGUCCGGAAUUAUUGGGCGUAAAGGGCUCGUAGGCGGUUUGUCGCGUCGGGAGUGAAAUCCACUGGCUUAACUGGUGGCUUGCUUUCGAUACGGGCAGACUGGAGGUAUGCAGGGGAGAACGGAAUUCCUGGUGUAGCGGUGAAAUGCGCAGAUAUCAGGAGGAACACCGGUGGCGAAGGCGGUUCUCUGGGCCAUUACUGACGCUGAGGAGCGAAAGUGUGGGGAGCAAACAGG
rnacentral:rRNA from 1 species